CGCAAGUUAAACUUACCGCUUCGCUCUCCCUGAAAAAGGAGAAUAAAUAGCAGCAGGAAGCGAGAGGCGCGAAGAAGAGGCGGGACGAGGCGGGAAGAAGCGGGAGAGGCGGGAAGAAGCCGGAGACCAGGAGGCCACUGGCGGCGGAGGAACAAGUUGUGACCUGUGCUAGUUGUUGUUGGACUUUUGCUGUUUCUAGCUGCUGCUGCUAGCCGGUUGAAGCUACUCUGGCUUUAUGUCAUCAGAUCAAUUAGAGUUGGUAUCAUGCAUAGUUGAAGAAAAUAAAAGAAGGAAGAGGAGAACGAUUGUUUUGACAGAAUUGUAUGUUGAAUCAUGUCUUCUUGCUAUGGCGUAUUUGAGUACUCAGAGGGGACCAAGGAACUUAGGCAGUUUUAGUGAAGAUGAGCGAAAAAAUAACUAUAGGAUGUACAUGCUCAAAGAGAUGUAUGAUGGUUCUGAAGUGGCUUGCUGCACUUGAGAUGAUACAAGGUUUGUCACGUGCUGACAUGCUACGGUCUUAUGGGAAGCUCAUACUUAAUGAGCGGUUGUUUGAUGCUCUUAUGGAGCUUCCCAUGGCCCUGAGGAAGGCAUGGCUCCUAAUGUUGCCUUGAAGUUUCUGAAUGUUUGUUGUAAGGGAUUUGAAGACUAGUAUGUGAUGUGUGCAAACUAUCUAGUUAUGACUUGUAACUCGGUUGUUCGAGACUCUUAUUUUGAUGACUUGUAACUCGUUUGUUCGAGACUAUCUUAUUUUAGUGACUUGCAAACUACUAUCUUGUUAUGAAUUGUUGCUGCAUGCA